rnacentral:rRNA from 1 species
GACGAACCGUGCGAACGUUGUUCGGAUUCAUUGGGCGUAAAGGGUGCGUAGGUGGCGCUGUAAGUCGGGUGUGAAAUCCUGAGGCUUAACCUCGGAACUGCAUUCGAUACUGCGGUGCUUGAGGACUGGAGAGGAGACUGGAAUUCAUGGUGUAGCAGUGAAAUGCGUAGAGAUCAUGAGGAAGACCAGUGGCGAAGGCGGGUCUCUGGACAGUUCCUGACGCUGAGGCACGAAGGCCAGGGGAGCAAACGGG